rnacentral:snRNA from 1 species
AUACUUACCUUGUGCCUGGGCCUCGUUGAUCGGCAAGGACGAGUCCCAGGGCAAGGCGCAGGCAUUGCACUGCGCUCACGUUGACCCCUGCCGCUACCCCAAAGUGGAGCAGAUGGGGCAUGCAAAUUUCUUAAAU